UCCUUUUAAGUGAUUCUUUUUUUUGUUGGGUUUACUAAGACUCUCUAAAUUUCUAAUUUUUUAAAUCUAAUAAAUUUUUUUGAAAGAGAAAAAUAGCAUGUUCUCUAUUUUGUUGGCUGAAAAUAUGAAAUAAUUAAGUUUCAAACUUGAAAAUUUGGGUACCGACCAUAUUCAGCUAGUAAAUUUACGUGAUUUUGUCUAUAUAAAUUUAAAAUUUUACCAAAUUAAUCGAUAAUUUUAUUAAAUUUAAUACUUUAAACUGCUUCAUAACAAAUGAAUAAUUCGGAAUAAUCAUUUUUUAGUAGCUAAAUGAGCUAUGAAACUCAACAAAAACUUUUAACUUAAUUAACUACAAAACCUCCGACCAAGAAUUUUUUUAAGAAAAAAGUUUAAAGUUGAGGCCUCUUUCUCAGAAAUGCCAAUAAUUGAGGGGGUUCUCCAUGCAAUUUUUGACCUUUCUAGAUGAGAAUAUCCACCCAGUCAAAGGCUGUCAGGAUCAUGCAGUUGGCAUGAUAGAGAGCUGCAACAGUAACAAACCUCUGCAGCAUCCCCAAAAGUUUCCUCUAUAAAUAACUGCUCCAAUAAAUGUAGUUCUACUUAGCUUAGAAUGUAGAGUUUUGAGAUAGAGAGAGAGAGAGAGAGAGUUGAGCACUGAAUGUGAGGAUUGGAGGAAAUCAAACUAGUUGCUGCAGAUCAUCAGAAAGUUUGGUUUCCUCCAAUAUCUCAUCUUCACUUGCUUUGGCUAUUGGCUAUUACUGUUGUUAUUAUUUCUUCAGAAACCGUAUGGGGUAUUGAACGUGAGGAUUAGAGGAAGCCGAACGCUCUGGCGAUACGAUAAAGAAGAUGCUUUGAGAGUUCAGUUUCCUCUAAUAUCUCACCUUCGACUGACGGCUCCAUGUGAGAUUAAUCUGCUAAUUUGUUUUUUGUUUACAACAAAUUUUCAUAUCCGCGUUUCUCACACACUUUUGUUGUUUCUUUUUCUUUUCUUUCUUUUUUUUUUUGACUAUAUAUAUAUACAUAGGAAAGAGGCACUAAAGAUCUUUUGUAAGCACAAAGAAGAUUAGAAGAUAAAAUAUCUCUUUAAAAUCCUUACAUCUCAACUAUGAAAAAUUAUUGAAACACACACCCAAAAAAAAAAAAAGUUCAAAAUCAAAAGUUUUUAGCUAGAAUCUUUUAUUAGCAAGCACACAAAAAUUAAAAAUUUUGACAAAAAAAAGUAACUCAUAUUAUUUCAAGUGAGCAUUUCUAAUCAGAUUACAGCUUUAAAGAUUAAGGCUAAAUCUCUCCAUUUUUGUCACACAUGUACACGUAUAACUAAUUACUUCUUGAUUGACCAAUAAAUCUCAAAAUGAUAGAUGGUCUCCUGUUUUUAGCUUCUUUUUCUUGUAUAUACAGUCGCUGCGCAAUUUCGGUUUGAUACCGUAUAUACUCACUGCUUCGCCAGCAUCGCGUCCAACCGCCUCUUCCUCGCCGCGUGUUUGAGUUUCUCCAUGGCUACGAGCCCGACUUGUCGAACCCGUUCCCUCGACAAACCAAACCUGAUCAUAUUUGCCACUGUUAGCAUGCACUAAGUUUGUUACUUUAGCUUCAUUCUACAGCUUUUAAUAGUACAAAAAAAUUUCGACUUUUUUCACAUUUCUAAAAUGCUAGUGCUAAAAAGGCAUAUCCCAGAAAGCUUCAAUUCAAAUUUGUUCUGAGUCCAUUGACUGUCAGAAAUUUAAUUAGAAAAGAUAAGGAAAAUUUACUUUGAGUUAUCAAAUAUCCGUGACGAGAGAAGCAACUCACUGUCUACUAAUAUCCUCCCAUGUGCGGCUUUCGCCGCCGAGACCGUGAUAGAGCUGUACGAUGUCUCUCUCCCGCUUAUUAAGUGCUAAGUGAAGAAGCUUGUUAACUUCGUCCUGAAACGGAAUACACGUAAGCGCACUUACGUUACUGGGCCUGUUUAGCUAGUUCGGAGCUUCUGCAUAAGUGUUGCUAAGUAAAGAUGUUGAGAAAAGCAUUAGCAUUUUCCCUUUUCUUAUGCCCUCCACUACAGCUUCCAGCUGCAGGAGAAGUAGAAGCUUCAAGUUGGAGCUUCUGCUUCAAGGGAUUCAUUGGAACUUCCGCCACAGCAAAAGCUCGAGACUUUUUGUCUGCAGAACGUCUAGCUCUUACUUCUCAGAGCAGAGAAGUUGUUCCACAAGCCACGGGAAACGGGCACAAUACCACAAGUAGAAUUAAGCAUGCGUGGGCGAGUACCUUAACAGACCACUCUUCAAAUCCAUGCCAGGGGUUGUUCUCCAGAUUCCUAUCUGCAAUAUACUGAUAAUAACGGAAAGAUACAUUCCUUAUGCUUCAAUUCAAGGGGGAAAUCAAAUUUCGAAUCGAGCAAAAACAAAUAGCAAGACGUACGCUGUGAAGCGUCUCCCCUGGAAGGCCAUUUAGAGAGGGAAAGGCUUCCCGAUCGAGAGAAAGUACCUUAUUAACAGCCUGCAGUUUUGCCAACUUAUAGUAAGAAAUAAAAAAGGAUGGUAACGGACAAAAUUAAAGAAUCCUGAAAGUAAAAACAGCAGAAACUCUAAUACCUCCGUAGCGUUCCGCACUUUCUUUUGUGACAUGUUCAGGGAUUCUGCAAGUUUCUGAACAACAUCAAAAGAAAAUUUGUCAUUCACAAAUCCAUCAUUAGUUGGUUUUCAUGCAAAUGUGUUAACCAAAUUAGACCUAAAACCAACUUCUUAAUAAAACUCCGGCGGUUUCAUCUUACAUCGAUAGAUGGUGUAAUUCCCUUGUCUUCCAACCUGAUCUUUGCAUUUCGAAUCAAGCUUAACCUUUCAUGCAAAUGUGUGGGUAGUCUCAGAGUUCUCGAGUUCUCAACCAAUGCUCGUGAAACACCCUGCAAACAAGCAAAGAAUAUGAACAAGGCUUUUAAAGAUAAGGUUGAUACUUGAAUACGAGUGCGUGAACAAACACGCAAAGAGACUUAGCUAGAGACCAAAUGCCGGAAAUUAGGAAUUUUCGUCAUUUUCUAGAUUCAAUGAAGAAACUGCUCCUAAAAGACAACAUAAGAAAUUUACUCGAGAAUCGGUGUUUUUUUUUUUUUCAGGGAGAAAUUGCCCACUAGAAGGGGAUUUAAAGAGGGUGGGAUGCAUAAGAUCUCGACCCUUACUUUAAGUCGCAGUGUAGAAUUGGAGAUGGAAUCCUCUGUUGUUCUUGAAUUAUUCUAAAUAUUGUUUGCGUAAAUCCACUCUAAGUAGGUUAUUUGCCAACAAUUGUCGAGUAAACAAAUCAGACUCACCUGACGUAUCCACCAGUAUACGUAAGUCGAAAUUUUAAAGCCCUUGGACGAAUCAAACUUCUCGAUCCCACGAAGUAAUCCGAUCAAACCACCCUUCAAUUGAAAAGGAAAAAAAAUGUAAGAGACGGAAAAAUUGAAGAAUAUUAUUCACCGAUUAGUAUACAAUAGCAAUCUAAGGGACUAUUUGCUCGGGAUAGAGAUUUUUCAUUAAAAUCCCUUUCUUAGGAGCUUCCAAGAUGCAGCAGAAGUAGAAGCUAUCGGAUCGUUGGCGCUAACCAUUAAUUCCAAAAGCUCGAGCUGUUAGAAAUACGCAACCAAUUCACUUAAAGCGUACAGAUACAGUGCCCACGGGUCUCAAUUGUCACUCGGCCCAUCCAACCUCACGUCACUUCGAACAUGACUUGGCCUACCCCAGCCUCACGCCAUUUCGAAUAUGACUCGGCCCAACAUGGCCUCUCACCACAGGGCAGGAUGCUGGGCCAUUGAAGCUAACAGAAGCUUCAAAUCGAGAGCUUCUGUACAGCAGAAGCUCCGAAUAUUAUGCUCAUCAAAUGUCUGUAGUUGCUUCUCGGAGUAGAGAAGUUAUUACAGAAGCCAUAUCAAACAGGCACCAAAGCUAUAACAGAUCAGCCGGAAAUGAGAAUUACCUGAAUGAGGUCGGCCAUCUCGGCACCCAAAUUGUCAUAUUUUUGUGCAAUAGAUAUCACCAACCGAAUAUUACUCAUUGCUAGCUUCUCCCUCGCCUGCGAACAUUCAAACAAUCUUGAAUGCAAUUCAGCACGCGACAUCCUCAGCGAACACGCCAGUUGCUUAUCAGAAGGUUCGGUGCCCAGUUUUUCUUUUAAUCUAAACCAUCAUCCAAUCCGGCAAACAGGAAAAAUUAGAUUCUAAAAGCGAAAAAGAACAAACUUCAAAGACGUAAAUAGCGAUAGGAUCAUGUCAUAAAAAAUUAUAAUAAAAUCCGUUCUUAUGUUUCAGUUUCAGUGAUCAUAUCGCAUCCUACUUACUUUGCUCGAUGCUCCUUGAGAUAAAGACCGUCCUUUAUUUUCUUCGACAAGUUCACAACUUCAGCAUGAGUAAGCAAAUCUUCGCUUACCAUCCCCUUCACGUAACCUCUGUUGCGAGCCUGAAGCAGUUCGGGACUAACAGUAGAACGUAUCUGCUUUCCUCGAUUCAAUGGCAUUAUCGAAAACCUCCUCCGAGUAUCUGUUCUCCUUUGCCUCGCAGAAACCCCCGAACGAGUUACUUCGACCUUAUUAUUCUUUUCUGCGGGUUCAGUAAAAGUUUUCAUUUGAUCAAAUGGAAGUUCCCAUUGCUUUUCCAGCAUAGAUUUUUGCAACAAGACAAGGACUUCCAGAGAAUUCUCGAGGUCGGGAUCAUCAUCCGGUGAAAUUUCGGGCGUAUUGAGCCAAUUCUCGGUGGUUGAAGUGGCGGCGGAAUGCGCGUGCUCUUUAAGCGCCUUAAUAGCUCGCAUCUGUCGGUUCGACGAAGCGUUUGGGCCGAAAUUAGGAGAUUUUUGAGCAAUUAUCGCGCUUUUGCUUGCGGCAGAUGAAAAUUGCAUUGGUCCAUGAUCUGGAACACCAAACAGCUUCUCGGAAAGGUCGGACGGAUAAAAUGAAGUGCUCAGAAGCCGGUUCCCGGCGCUUAGCCCGAUCACUGCAGCCGUAGCCAUCAUCCAGCUUCUUCACUCUGCAUAUAAUUGUCGCAAUAAGUUAUAAAAAAAACGAAGUUUCUAAUGAAACUUCAAACUACUUCGAGCGUUAAAUUCAAUGAAAAAUAAUCCUAAUUGAAGAAAAAUUGCAAUAAAGGAAAAAUUUUUCUACUAGAAAUGUUACAUAGUGAAUUGCCAGAUAUUUGAAGCGCGAAAAAGAUCAUAGCGACAGAGUGUUAGUAAACUAUCGGUGCACGUAGCAUGGUUCAUCUGAUCUUCACUAUGCACGUGAUUAGAGAAUGUUAAGACGGCGUAUUCCUAAAUUAUUUUCUAUCGUAUCGAUCUUUCGGAUAACAUGAUACAUCACGGUGUUAUAUCGACUCGAUGAUCUCUAUCUCAGAAACAAGGAUUUCUGAGUUCCAUGUGCUGCCGCCGACACAAAUGAGGGCCGGCGCAAGCAAAAGAAUGGUUUCUGCAUACUUUAAAAACUACUCUACAUGAGUUCAAGAGGAGAACAAUUCACUAGAUUCAGCAGGAAGUGCUUUUCCAAGAAUCAAAUCACACAAACAAGCCCAAAAAGAAAAUUUCCAACCUUGUUAGCAACUGAAUCAGCCACCAUUCAUGACACUUCAUACAAACAAAGCUCAAAAGAGCAAUUUGUAUGUUUGUUCAUCAUGGAAACAUCAAUAUAAUGGAAAAGUAAGAGAACCCAUUACCCCAAAAUCCAAUUUUUGAUCAAAAAAACAAAUUAUAUAUACCACCCCCAAAGAAUCUGAACCAAUUGCUCCAAAAUCCUAUUUUGAUCACAGAAAACAAAGCAAACAUGCCCAAAGAAUCUGAAAAAUAAGCAGUAAUUUAGAACCAACAAAGCUUAUAAGUGAUUAAUCUAUAAAAAAAACCAACUUUUUUCCUUAAAAAAAAAAUGACAAAGGCAAAUUAGAUCACCUGAGUUGCUGUGGGUGGGCACAAACGUAGGGCGGUGAAAGCAAAGAGAGAAGAGGGAGAGCCCUGUACACACAACAACACUACAACAAUACUUCGAAUCUCUUUGUUGUUUUUAGUGAAAAAAAAAUCUCUAUUUUUUCCUUUUUUUUUUGGUUGGUAUUGUUGCUGUUGUGAGGGAUAGUAAGUGAGAGAGAGAGAGAGAGAGAGAGAGAGAGGAUAUGGGAGGGAGAGAGGCCAUUGGUUGGAGGAGAUAUUAAGCAGGAGUUGAGUGGUGUGUGUGGCUCCCCCAACUCCAUGAAACAAGUGAACAACCACACACACACACACAACACACACAACACAACGCAACACACAUGCAUGCACCAGGUGCAUGUUUCCCCUGCAUCUCAUGCACUGCAACUAUGAAGACACUGUUCGUUGAAAUUGCAGACAGAAUGCAUCAUGUGAAGUUAAAAAGGAGAGCGUGUUAGAUGCACAGAGUGAUCCCCCUGUUCAUUGGGCAACAGAAUGCCUCGUGGUCGUUCAUAUCGCAUACAUUGAAACUACAGAGACAUUGUUUGUUGAAAUUGCAGACAGAAUGCGUCACGUGCAAUCAGAAAGAAGAGCAUAUUAGAUGCAUGGAGUGAUUCCACUAUUCAUUAGGCAAGAAAAUGCAUCACAAUCGCCUAUAUCUCAUGCACUGCAACUACGAAAAUACUGUGCGUUAGAAUUGCAGACAGAAUGCACCACAUGAAGUUAGAAAGGAGAGCACAUUAGAUAGACUAAGUGAUAUCGUGUUCAUUAGGGAAUAGAAUGCAUCCCAAUCGUCCAUAUCUAUACUCUUAUAUGAAUCCCCAAUAUCAAAUGAUGAUGUGGCAAACUCUCUUUUUUUUAUUUUUUUAAUUAUUUUAUUUUAUAUUUUAAUUUUUUUUUCUCAUCUUCUUUAACGUCUAACUCUUUACCUUCCAAUAACAUCACCUUCUCUCUUUUUAUUAUUAUUGUAAUUAAUUCAAAAUUAAUUUUUUCUUCCAAAAUUCUAACUCUUCUUCUCUUCUUUAACGUUCACCUCUUUACCUUCCAAUAACCCUACUUCUCUCUCUUUAUUAUUGUAUUUAAUUAAUAAUUAUUUUUUUCUUCCCCCCAUGUCUCUAUUAAUCUCUUCGUUCUUAACUCUUGCUAAAUCUCUUUCAUCCUCUCCCUCUCCCGUAAAAGUCGCUCGCUUUCAUCACUGUCGCAUCGCCUUCAAGUCCAUAGAAUCCGCAGAUCCCGUCGUGUAUUUGGUGGGGAUGGCAGUGGUGGUAGAAGAUGAAAAUCUUGGAUGCGGCGGCGGCGGUAGCGACGAUAGAAGUGGAAGAGAGUGUAUGGAUAUAUAGUAAUAGUAUAUAUAUAUAUGGUGAUAAUCAAGUAAUCGAGAAUUUUUUGUAUUUUACUUUUUCUUUAAUGUUUUUUUUUUUAACUACCCUAUCUAUUAGCUUUUUUCAAUUUCUUUUAUAGUUAUUUAGAUGUAUGUAAAAUUGUUAAACAAUAAGCUGAUAAAAAAUAUAUUUUUUUAUAGGAUUUGUUUCUAGAAUUAGAUGUUCUUUUAAAGGAUUUGCAUGUAUGUUAUAAAUAACUGCUUACUCCAAUUUACAAUUUUAUAUAUACACUGAAUAAUUUUAAAAAAUUUACUAUUAUACAAUUAAAAUCUAAUUCAACAAAUACAAUUUAAAUUAUUUUUAUUUAAAUUAAUUGAAUUAUUAAUCUAGCUAAUAAUUUUAUUUAAAUUAUUUUGUCAUUCCUUUAUUUUACGCCUCUCUUUUUUUCUCUUUUUUUUUUCUUUCUUUAUCUCCUCACUGUAUUUUGUUUUUGAUAUAUAUCCAAUUUCAAACUUUCAUCAAUGAUCAACAAUAAUAAAAAAAUCGCUUCGAUAAUAUUUGCCCGCUGCAUCGUGCGGAUAACUACACUAGUAUCAAUAAUGAAAUUGUAUUGUGAAUAAAAAUUUUCUGCACAUAGCACUGUAGCACCUGUAGAAAAUAUAUAGCGCAUAAGAAAGUGUGUUUGAAAAAUAUUCUAUUUGUUUUCUAGAUGAUAAAAUCGGUGGCAUUGGUUUAAUUAAAGUAUUCUUUCUGUAAUACAUCCGUAGCCUCGAUACUAAAAAUCUUACCCAAAAAAAAAAAAUUUAAAGCCUCAAAGUUAGAAUUGGAUUUAUUCAAUGUGUUAUAUGGCAUUCAAAAUGCCAAUACAUAUCAAUAUAAUUUUAAAUUCUCAUUUUUUUUCAUAAAUUGAAUAUUUUUUUUCUAUAAGUUAAUUUUUAGUACUACCUUCUUUACUCAAAAAGUAGUGGAUUUAUAAGAAUUACUACACAUAGACCUCUUAAAAAUUAUAAAUCAUUAUUAUCUCAAUUAAUUUUAAACUUGAAAUAUUAAUUAUUAAAUAUCUAAGUACGGUGCAUGGUUUGUACAGAUACACCGGGAGCAGGAAAUAAUUUGACUAAGAUAUCUCUGGUGACACUGUGAUCCGGAUCCAACGACUCUUCAACAGUUUCUUGGGAUAUUUUUCACCUUAACCCACAAAAGAAACCUAUUUCAAAAUUCGAACCGACUCAAAAUUUUUUUUUUCUUAUGUGUAUAAUAUCAAAUUCUGUAUAAUGAAUUGGUUACAAUAUUUUUUUACUGGACCAACUAAAAAAGAAAAAAUUAUAUUUUUAUAUAUAUUUUGUCGUACUUCUUUUGUCCAAUAGUGUUAGAUGAGUCGUAAUAUCAAACUCAGUUAUGAGUUGAAUGAGAAGCGUUCGGUCGAUGGGAAUAAUUUUAAAUCUGUAAGUACCAAUUUAUUCCCACACUGAUUAUGCCAGCGACCUGAAUCUCAAUAUUAUGUUAACUGCAGAUGGGUGGUCUCAUAUUGGGAACUGUCCCCAUUAAUUUUUAUUUUUUUUCUUUUAUGUUAUGUGAUUUUUUUUAAUAAUAUUUAAUAUGCCUUUAAAAACUUUAAAAAUAUCUGAUAUAUCCUUGGUUGAUCAAAAUGUACUUAUUUAUUUUCAAAAAUCUUUCAAAUGUCUUCAAAUUUCUAUGGUUUACUAAUGAGAUUUGGGAUUUAGAAGGGUAAUUUGAUAAUUUGAGAGUAAAUUUGAAAAUUUUGAAAAAUAGUUGGGGUAAAUAAGCAAAAGCACCCUUUUACUUUCUUUUAUGUUUUGUGUCUCAAAACUUAACUCGGCAAAAUAUACAUCUCGCCGCCGACUACACCCUGAACUCUUGAACUCGGCGAAAACGCGUUUCUCGGCCCCGACUUCACCAGGCGAACUCGGGAAUUGCAGCUAUUUCGGCACCGACUACUUCGUCGAACCCUUCUUCCGAAGAAUCGCGAACCCCCUCGUAGCCCAUAAGAGCUCUCAAAUCGCCUCUUCACGCUUCAUGCUCCCACAACCAUGCUCUCGCGAGCUCGUCGUCGUCGCCACCUCCCCCUCCACGCUCUUCUCCCCACCCCACCGCGCCGCCGCGCUCUCCGCAGCCUCCGCGCUCCGGAAUCGCCUCCCCAGACGCGCGACGUGUUCACGCUCAACUCCGCCAUCACGAGCUGCUUCCGCAGCGGCGACGUGGAGAGCGCGCGCCAACUGUUCGACGAAAUGCCCCACCGGAACUCGGUCACCUGGAACUGCAUGGUCUCCGGCUUCGUUGCAAACCGCAUGAUCUCCGACGCGCGCAGGGUGUUCGACCAAAUGCCCGCGAAGAACGUCGUAUCCUCGUCGGCGCUCGUCGCCGGGUACGCCAAGUGCGGCCGCGUCGACGAGGCCCGGGACCUGUUCGAUCGAAUCCCCCGCAAGAACGUAGUUUGCUGGAAUUCGAUGAUCUCGGGGUACGCAUUGAACGGCAUGAUCCAAAAGGCGCGCGAAUUGUUCGACGAAAUGCCCCUCAGGAACGGCGUCUCGUUUUCGAUCAUGAUUUCGGCGUACCUCAGGCGCAGGCUCGUCGGCGAAGCUCGCGCGCUGUUCGACCGAGCGCCUUCACCGUCGUCGUCGGCGACGUCUCUUUGCAAUGCGCUGUUAUCCGGCUACGUAGAAUUGGGCCGCGUUAGCGAUGCGGAGGAGUUGUUCGGCAAAAUGGAUCGAAGGGACGUGAUAUCGUGGAAUGUAAUGAUCACCUGCUACGCGCGAGGCGGGAGGAUGGACCUCGCCGAGCGCCUGUUCGAUGAAAUGCCGGAGAAGGACACAGUCUCUUGGACGGCGGUGUUGCACGGAUAUUUGCUGAACAGGGACGUAGAUUCCGCGUGGAAGUUGUUCAACAAUAUGCCGGACAAAGACGCAGUGACAUGGAACACGAUGAUGGGCGGGUUCGUGCAAAAUGGUAUGUUCGAGGAUGCUUUGAGAUUGUUCCACGCCAUGCCGGAGUGGGAGAGAGAUAUCGUCUCGUGGAAUACGAUUUUGCAAGGAUACGUUCGGAAAGGCGACAUGGCGAAUGCGAAUUACUUCUUCGGGAGAAUGCCGCGUAGAAGCGAGACUUCGUGGAACACGCUUAUCUCCGGAUACGAAGGAGAAGAGGCUUUGGUUUUGCUCUCGAAGAUGGUCCGAGAAGGAUUCAAGCCCGAUCAAGCCACGUUGAGUGUUGUGAUCUCGGUAUGCGCCUCUCUCGUUGCUCUUAACUGGGGGAAAAUGGUGCACAGCUACGCAGUUAAGAGCGGGUAUCCGCGCGACGCAUUGGUGAUGAGCUCGUUGAUCUCCAUGUACUCUAAAUGCGGCUUAACAGGUGACGCUCACGAAGUGUUCGAGCACGUUACGAAGCGGGACACGAUCACGUGGAAUGCCAUGAUCGCAACGUAUGCUUACCACGGGUUAGCUAAAGAAGCUUUCACACUUUUCGGUGAGAUGAUCGAACGUAAGUUCGUUCCGGACCACGCGACCUUUCUGAGCCUGUUGAUAGCAUGUGCUCAUAGAGGUUUAGUCGACGAGGGAUGCAAAUACUUCGAAAGUAUGCAACGGGAUUGGAAAUUGGUACCGAGAUCGGAGCAUUACUCUUGCAUGGUUGAUCUUUUCGGGAGAUCGGGAUUUAUAAACCAAGCCCAUGAAUUGACCAAUGAAAUACCAUCCGACCUUCGAACCACUGCUUGGGAAACCUUGCUGAAUGCGUGUAAAGUUCACGGAAAUUUGGAACUCGGAGAAGUUGCGGCGAGAAAGGUUUUGCAGGAUGAUCAGCUCGAUGACGGUGGAAUGUACAUACUCUUGUCAAAUAUUUAUGCCGGCAAAGGAAUGUGGGGCGAUGCGGCGAUGAUCAGAUCGUUCAUGCGAGAACGUGGGGUGAAGAAAGAGACGGGAUGUAGCUGGAUUGAGAUUCAGGGAGAGAUGGCCUUCUUUUCUUCGAACGAUAAGAGCCAUCCUCUGAUCGAGGAGAUAUGUCGUGAAUUAGAUAAUAUUUCCAACAUAAUAGAAGAAUACAUUUGAGUUACGCAACAACGAGGGUAACUUACUUAUCCAAAAAGGCCGACGCUCACGUUGGUGCUGUUUGAAUAGAGUCAUUCAGAGAAGCAAUACGAGCUUUUCAUUAGAAUACCCAAAAGAUCUCCAACAUAGAAGACGCAGAAGCUCCAAGUUGGAUUCGUGGAGCUUUUGCGCUCAGAACCUAGAAGCUUAUCUCCACUUUUACGACAGCGGCGAAAGAACUAUAGCAUAUUGUCGAUCGAACGCUUAUUAACGUUUUUGCUUCUUUAAUAGAGAGAAGCUGCUUCAAAAGCGAGGAGGCCACCCAAACAGGUAUUAGUCGAAAAUGUUUCAUGGGCAGAUUGUGCAGUUUUUAGCUUCAAAGAUUCCAUGUCAAUGCAAAUUCAAGCGCUUCAGUCAUGCAAACCCUCGACAGCAAAUCUGGUUUUAUGAUCUUUUCGAACCUCCACUGAUACGGUAUUCCUAUUUCGAUGCAGGAACAGCCGCAAGUUUAACAUAGCAGAGAACAGUCGGCAAGCAACUUCGAAACACCGACGAAGCUAUCGGACAUUAAUCACACUUGGAGACAAUCUCAGGUUCUAAUUUAACCAUUCAACCUAGCAAUUUCCUCAUUUUAUGUUACUGUUAUACCGUAAUUGCGAUUGAGAUGCAUACGACGAACACAGUUUCUAUUCCUUUCUCAUGUUGGAACCUACCAAAUUACAGUAAUCACAGCAGCAGCAGCAACAAACAAAAGGCUCAGGUGCUAUUGUGUAUUUUCACCUAAAAACUGAUCCACUGCAUGCAACAAUUGAGUGUUCAAACACCAUCUGGGAUGAGCUUAUCCAGAAGUGUGUUCAGCAGCGCGUCGCGCUUCUCCGCCCGGGUCUCCUCCCUCAUCCUCACCUGCUCCUCGCUCUCCCGCAUCGCCCGCUCCAGCAUCAGCCUCUCCCUCUCCAACCUCUCCACCGUCUCCCGCCACUCCUGCUCGAAGACCCGCCGCCACUCCAUCAGCUCUCGCAACACAUCAACAAUGCUUCUGUCGCCAAUCAGUAACUUUGCCCCCCUCGCGACCCUCGUCUUCGUGCUUCGAGCGGGGCCGUCGUGAUUGCCAUUCUCUUCUUCUUCUUCAUCUUCAUCUUCUAAGAAUUCAUCGAACGAUCGAUCUUCGGACGGCCUCUUUAGUUUCUUAUUCGGANUGUGUUCAGCAGCGCGUCGCGCUUCUCCGCCCGGGUCUCCUCCCUCAUCCUCACCUGCUCCUCGCUCUCCCGCAUCGCCCGCUCCAGCAUCAGCCGCUCCUCCACGCUCCUCUCCAUCUCCUCCCGCCACCGCUUCUCCGCCUUCUGUUGCCACUCCAUCAGCUCUCGCAACACAUCAACAAUGCUUCUGUCGCCAAUCAGUAACUUUGCCCCCCUCGCGACCCUCGUCUUCGUGCUUCGAGCGGGGCCGUCGUGAUUGCCAUUCUCUUCUUCUUCUUCAUCUUCAUCUUCUAAGAAUUCAUCGAACGAUCGAUCUUCGGACGGCCUCUUUAGUUUCUUAUUCGGAUCGGAGGCACAGGAUUCAACAGCAAGGUGAGGGCGUCGCAUGUUCGUCGCCGGCUCAUCGACGUUAUCGGCAUCCGACGUCUCUUUUCCCUGAAAAAAAGCAAAGUGAGAAUCACAAAUGUAGAAAUGAAAACUAUUUACUACUACGAAAUGCAUUGUCAUAUGCUCACUGAAACCAACUUGCCAAAACCUAACAAGGAUCAGUUGAACACUAUAAGAAAAUUAUAUGACUCUCUCAACCUAAUGUCAAACCAAAAUCUACCAAUAUUCACCAUUUAAAUUAACCAAAAGUAUAAUUUAAUGUUCCAAUUUGCAAUAGACACCAAUGAUUUGAUUGGGGUUGUAACAAAAUCAUAUAAAUUUGUAAUGGGCCCAAUGGAUUGGGUAAAAUUGGUUUUAACAAAAAAACAAAGUACAGAGACUACCUAUACUAUACUAUAAUAAACUAUUUGGAAGUAGACUCCCUAAACUAUAGACUCUUUUUUUUUUUAUCAGAACCCUCCUACUAUUUUUUUUUGUUUUUUAUUCGACUUAUUUACAUCAGAUAAAUUAAAAAUUUUGUCAAAUUUAAUGAUAAUUUUAUUAAAUUUAAUAGUUCCGCCAGCUUAGUUAAUAGCCAGCAGCUAAUUAAGGUCUCGUUUGGUAUCGUUGUCUGGUAUCGUUGUCGUUCUUUUUUACUUUUUAUUGUUAUGAUUGAAAAAAAUUGGAAGUUUAAAAAGUUGCUUUUUAAAAAAUUUAUGUGUAAAAUUUAAAAAAAAAAGAAAAAAAAAGAUAACCAUACCAAAAUGAGGGCUAAUAACUAGCUAAAAAUUUUUAAAUCUAAACAAAUAAAAAGUUAAUAGUAACAAGAAACAAAAAAACUCCACUCUCUCCUUAUAGCAUACAUUUCUUUACCUAAUUAAUAUAUCAACCUACAUAAGUUAUGAGUCCGGUCACUAUACUUUUAUGAAUGCAGGCCCUAUUGUAUUCAUAAAUUUUCGACCGUCAGAUCAUACUAUUCAAUCAUUGCCACCCGGUAGAUCAUACUAUUCAAUCAACCACCCACUCAAUCCUAGAGGAUCACUAUCAUCCUAACUGCACAUUCAUUCAUCCAACGGUAGAAAACUUAUAAGUAUAAAGAGAUCUAUAUUCAGUAUAGUAGCCCUAGCACAUAAGUUAUUAUAAAACAUAAAAAAAAAAUUGAAACCAUUAAUUAAAAAAAAGAAAAGGAUUAAUCAAAUCUAAUAUUCAAUUCAAAUCACCAGAUCAAUCACAAAUAACAAAUCUAAUAUUCAGUUCAAAUCACCGGAUCAAUCACAAAUAACAAUAAUCAUCAUCCACAAGAAGAAGAAGAAGAAGAAGAAGAGGAGAAAGUCUACAUUAUAACAAUAAAACUAU
rnacentral:lncRNA from 1 species